CGGUAAUUCCAGCUCCGAUAGUAUAUAUUAAAGUUGUUGCAGUUAAAAAGCUCGUAGUUGAAACUUGGGUGCGUAGGGGCGGUCUCUUUUAGAGUACUACCCUGAAACAUCUUUCUUUGGUGUAAACUUUCUAUUUAUUUAGGAAGUGUAAGCCAAACAUUUACUUUGAAAAAAUUAGAGUGUUCAAAGCAGGCCUUUGCUCGAAUAUAUUAGCAUGGAAUAAUAGAAUAGGACGUAUGGUUCUAUUUUGUUGGUUUCUAGGACCGUCGUAAUGAUUAAUAGGGACGGUCGGGGGCAUCAGUAUUCAGUUGUCAGAGGUGAAAUUCUUGGAUUUACUGAAGACUAACUACUGCGAAAGCAUUUGCCAAGGACGUUUUCAUUAAUCAAGAACGAAAGUUAGGGGAUCGAAGACGAUCAGAUACCGUCGUAGUCUUAACCGUAAACUAUGCCGACUAGGGAUCGGAGGGCGUUAUAAUAACCUCUCCGGCACCUUACGAGAAAUCAAAGUUUUUGGGUUCUGGGGGGAGUAUGGUUGCAAGGCUGAAACUUAAAGGAAUUGACGGAAGGGCACCACCAGGAGUGGAGCCUGCGGCUUAAUUUGACUCAACACGGGGAAACUCACCAGGUCCAGACACAAUAAGGAUUGACAGAUUGAGAGCUCUUUCAUGAUUUUGUGGGUGGUGGUGCAUGGCCGUUCUUAGUUGGUGGAGUGAUUUGUCUGCUUAAUUGCGAUAACGAACGAGACCUUAACCUGCUAAAUAGCUGUAACAAUAGAUUAUUGUUUUGACAGCUUCUUAGAGGGACUAUCGAUUUUCAAGUCGAUGGAAGUUUGAGGCAAUAACAGGUCUGUGAUGCCCUUAGACGUUCUGGGCCGCACGCGCGCUACACUGACGGAGCCAGCGAGUCUAACCUGUGCCGAGAGGUAUGGGUAAUCUUGUGAAACUCCGUCGUGCUGGGGAUAGAGCAUUGCAAUUAUU
rnacentral:rRNA from 1 species